rnacentral:lncRNA from 1 species
GGACAGCUCCAGUAGCCGGAGCAGCGUGUCCUCUGAGCGCCUGACAGUAAUGAUUAAUUUCAUCCCGCCUCCUGGGAGAGAGUCCCGCCCGGCAACUGACCAGCGGCCCAGGUGGACAGCACUGGUCACGAGACUCCUCGGCACUAGCUCCAAGAGCCUUCCGCAACUACAAAUCGGGAAAUGAACAGAUCUGAGUGGAGUCCAAAAGGCAAGUCAAAAAGAAGGUGUCUGGAGUCUUUAUUAGUGUCCCUACACUACAAAGUGAGAGUCCUUUAGAAGACAGACAAGGAGACAAAUUGGAAACUCAGAAACUUUCCAAGAAUGAAGUUAUGGGAGCAAAGAAGGCAAUGAGCCUGCAGUGCCCUGUCUUUUGGAGAUAGCAAUUCAGUGUUGAAGGAGCAAGACCAAGGCUAGGCAGCAUGCAGGGAAAAGAGUUCUGUCAGCAAAACCCUGAUUACAAACAGGUGGCUCCAACUACAAAAGACAGAAAGGCAGUAAGUCACAAACAGCCAAACCCAGAACUAUGUGCACAUAGUUUUUCAUUCUGGCAUUUUAACGAGAAAUAAAAGGAGAUUUUUUUCUCUGCUAAGGAAAAA